CCUACGCGCGGCAGCAGUCGGGAAUAUUGCACAAUGGAGGAAACUCUGAUGCAGUGACGCCGCGUGCAGGAAGAAGGUUUUCGGAUUGUAAACUGCUUUAGACAGGGAAGAAACAAGACAGUACCUGUAGAAUAAGCACCGGCUAACUACGUGCCAGCAGCCGAGGUAAUACGUAGGGAGCAAGCGUUAUCCGGAUUUAUUGGGUGUAAAGGGUGCGUAGACGGGUAUAUAAGUUAGUUGUGAAAUCCCUGGGCUCAACUUAGGAACUGCAACUAAAACUGUAAAUCUUGAGUCCGGGAGAGGAUAGUGGAAUUCCUAGUGUAGCGGUGAAAUGCGUAGAUAUUAGGAGGAACACCAGUGGCGAAGGCGACUUUCUGGACCGUAACUGACGUUGAGGCACGAAAGUGUGGGGAGCAAACAGGAUUAGAUACCCUAGUAGUC
rnacentral:rRNA from 1 species